rnacentral:rRNA from 1 species
CCUACGGGAGGCAGCAGUGAGGAAUAUUGGUCAAUGGACGAGAGUCUGAACCAGCCAAGUAGCGUGAAGGAUGACUGCCCUAUGGGUUGUAAACUUCUUUUAUAUGGGAAUAAAAUGUUCCACGUGUGGGAUUUUGUAUGUACCAUAUGAAUAAGGAUCGGCUAACUCCGUGCCAGCAGCCGCGGUAAUACGGAGGAUCCGAGCGUUAUCCGGCUUUCUUGGGUUUAAAGGGAGCGUAGGUGGAUUUUUAAGUCAGUUGUGAAAGUUUGCGGCUCAACCGUAAAAUUGCAGUUGAAACUGGCAGUCUUGAGUACAGUAGAGGUGGGCGGAAUUCGUGGUGUAGCGGUGAAAUGCUUAGAUAUCACGAAGAACUCCGAUUGCGAAGGCAGCUCACUGGACUGCAACUGACACUGAGGCUCGAAAGUGUGGGUAUCAAACAGGAUUAGAUACCCCUGUAGUC